rnacentral:rRNA from 1 species
AGAGUUUGAUCAUGGCUCAGGAUGAACGCUAGCGGCAGGCUUAAUACAUGCAAGUCGUGGGGCAGCAUGGGUGUAGCAAUACAUCUGAUGGCGACCGGCAAACGGGUGCGCAAUACGUACGCAACCUUCCUUUAAGCGGGGGAUAGCCCAGGGAAACUUGGAUUAAUACCCCAUAACAUAUUGAAGAGGCAUCUUUUUAAUAUUAAAGCUCCGGCACUUAAAGAUGGGCGUACGGCUGAUUAGGUAGUUGGCGGGGUAACGGCCCACCAAGCCUACGAUCAGUAGCUGAUGUGAGAGCAUGAUCAGCCACACGGGCACUGAGACACGGGCCCGACUCCUACGGGAGGCAGCAGUAAGGAAUAUUGGUCAAUGGACGCAAGUCUGAACCAGCCAUGCCGCGUGGAGGAUGAAGGUCCUCUGGAUUGUAAACUUCUUUUAUCUGGGACGAAACACUUCUAUUCUUAGAGGCCUGACGGUACCAGAUGAAUAAGCACCGGCUAACUCCGUGCCAGCAGCCGCGGUAAUACGGAGGGUGCAAGCGUUAUCCGGAUUCACUGGGUUUAAAGGGUGCGUAGGUGGGUAUGUAAGUCAGUGGUGAAAUCCCCGAGCUUAACUUGGGAACUGCCGUUGAUACUAUAUAUCUUGAAUGCCGUAGAGGUAAGCGGAAUAUGUCAUGUAGCGGUGAAAUGCUUAGAUAUGACAUAGAACACCAAUUGCGAAGGCAGCUUACUAUGCGGAUAUUGACACUGAGGCACGAAAGCGUGGGUAGCAAACAGGAUUAGAUACCCUAGUAGUCC